AUGACAAGAAAGACAAAAUUGUUGUAUUGAUGCAAUGGUCACAGAAUCUACUUUGCAUAUUUUCUUCCAGGACAUUUCAUUGGUGAAAUGACCCUUGUACUCUCUCUCUCUCUCUCUCUCUCUCUCUAAAUCACUGGAACAACAGUGUAAUUACAAUCGUAUCACAACCAAUCAAACAUAUACUUCUCUGUAAAAACUUGGACCACAAGAAAUCAACAUAUCAUGUACAAUUUGGUAUUAGAACAAAUAGCAUCACCACCAGAGGCUUGAGUCCCAGCGUGGGACUACUCAGUAGGACAAUCAGCAAGAAUUUAGAAGAGUCCCCGCACAGGACUAUACGACAGCGUACUUUUGAAAGCCAUUUAGCCACUACCAGUUCAUCCGUUGACUUGAAGCGCCAUCUUCUAUCCGAUGAGCAGAGCACGCGCCGAUGGUUAGCCUCUCUUUCCUCGAGGUUUCUUGACAGUCUUCAUUUUUGUGGGAGCAAGGAAAUCAUCGUCCUCUAGGUCACUGAAAGAUAUGUCUUCUUCAUUGAUUGCGUGAAUAGCCGUUACACUAUACCCAUCUAAUUCAGAAUCUUCCUCUGGCCAGUCAUCAUCGUCAUCAUCUUCGUAGAUAUUAUCUAGCAUCUUCGAGGAUGGACCAACUGUUAGAUUCUUGUCCUCGCUCUUAAUGAUGGGCUUUUCUUCAAUAACAGACUUGUCAAUAAAUGGGACUUCAUCACUCUCAACUGGGUGCUUCUCAGUCUCAUAAGCCGUGGGGGACAUCGUUGAUUCAUAAGGAUACGUCCUUAGCAUCUUGUCCUCGUAAUAAACACUACAUGAUGAGACCGGAGCACAAUCGUCAUCUAGUAUAUUGGAACUGUCUUUUAAAAAAGAAGUGUUUCUUCCAAAUUGAUCAUGUUCCAAUGCAGUCUGACAAUGUAGCUCCUGCAUCCACUUUGCUCUGGCUUCCAUUAUCUGCGACCAAUAUGUUAUACUACAUUAAAUUUCAGAGACCUAACAGGUUUGGCAUGAACUUAGGCUCAAUCACAAAGUAUAGAUAAUGUUUUAAUCUAAGAAAAUAUUGUCAUUUUUCUGGAACCAUCUAGAAUUCCUAAAUCCAAACUUUAUUCCCAACCGGGAAGAUCACCUGCAACCUAAAUAUAAAAGAACGGAGCUUCGCUGCUGAAAAAUUAGCAGCAGCUCCUGCUGCUAGCGAAUCACGGGUGGACAUGUGUAUUAAUUUGGAAUUGAAGAAUACUUCUAUUUCUUAUUUCUGUACAAAUGAAAACAGCUAUUAUAUAUACAUACAAUGAUAGCACGCAUGCAAUAAUUAAAUAUAAAAACCAAUGGGCAUCCUUGCUGCCCAUGAUGUAACUGACACGCCCAUGAUGUGUAUCCACCAUGUGCAAACCUUUGCUGACAAGGAUUUUGGUAUCCACAUGCAACUGUCCAAACUAUCCAGAAUGUGCAUCCACAUGCUACAUUCCUGCUGUCCACUUUGUACAGAUUGGGUGAUUUCUUUUCCUUUAACAAUCCCCCUCAAGUUGGAGCGUGAAUGUCAAUGACGCCCAACUUGCCUAGAUGUGUAUGAAAAAUAGGAGCGCGAAGUGGCUUGGUAAACAAGUCUGCGACUUGUUCUCCUGUUCUGACAUAAGAAGUUUUAAUUUCUCCCUUUUCGAUCCUCUCACGAACAGUGUGGCAAUCGAUCUCAAUAUGCUUUGUGCGUUCGUGAUACACAGGGUUUGCAGCUAUGUGUAAAGCCGCUUGGUUGUCACAAAAUAACCUUGCCGGUUGGGGAUGCUCAACACGUAAAUCUACCAAUAAAUAUCGCAACCAACUCAAUUCACAAGUAGCUGCAGCCAUAGAUCGAUACUCCGCUUCAGCUGAGGAACGGGCUACUGUAACUUGCUUCUUGCUUUUCCAGGACACCAGUGACUUUCCAAGGAAGAUACAAUAACCAGUAACUGAUCGACGGGUAAUGGGGCAACGUGCCCAAUCUGCAUCACAGUAACCAAUUAAAUUCAAUUCACUUUGGGAAGAGAACAUCAAGCCUUGUCCAGGGGCUCAUUUGAGGUAUCGAAGAAGUUGAUACACUGCAUCAAGAUGAUGUCGUUGUGGAUCUUGCAUGAACUAACUUAACGUGUUGAUAGUGUAUGCUAUCUCUGGUCUUGUGAUGGUUAAAUAAAUUAAUUUUCCAACCAAGCGCCUAUACCUCGCAGGUUCAUGUAGUGAAGUGCUACCUGCGGGAAUUAGGACCAAAUCGGCCUCCAUUGGGACCUUCGUGGGUUUGGCGCCAAGAAGGCCAGCCUCCUCCAAUAUGUCCAAUGUAUAUUUUUGUUGACAGAUUGUGACUCCAGCUUUCGAUCGUGCGACCUCAACUCCAAGGAAAUAUUUCAGAGGUCCAAGAUCUUUAAUUCGAAAUUGACUGCUAAGGAAGGCCUUUAGGUUCUUGAUUUCUGCCUCAUUGUUGCCUGUAAUCACCAUGUCGUCAACGUAUAAUAAUACAAUAGUGAAUGAAGUACCUUUGACUUGAGUGAACAGAGAAUAAUCUGCCUUGGAUUGGCAGAAACCAAUGGUACAUAUUGCUUUAGAGAAUUCUCGAAACCAACUUCUAGAUGCUUGUUUAAGACCAUACAGAGAUUUGUGGAGUCGACAUACGACAUUCUCCCCCUGUCGACGACAACCCGGAGGCGGCAACAUGUACACUGCCUCAUGAAGUUCGCCAUGCAAAAAAGCAUUUUGGACAUCCAUUUGAUGUAAGGGCCAAUUGCGAACAGCAGCCACAGUCAAGAAGCAACGCACAGUGAUGAGUUUGGCUACUGGUGCAAAAGUCUCCUUGUAGUCGAUACCUUCACGUUGGGUGAAACCUUUGGCAACGAGACGUGCUUUGUAGCGUUCAAGAGUGCCAUCAGAUUGGUACUUUAGUUUGAAAACCCAUUUGCAGCCGAUGGGUUUUUGGCCGGGCAGAAGAGGAACAAAAUUCCAGGUAUUAUUUUCUUCUAAAGCUGUGAGUUCUGCAUGCAUCGCUGCAACCCAGUGGGGAUUUUGGCAAGCCUGCUCGUAGGUAUUUGGCUCCACCAAGUGUGAAAUAUGAGAAACAAAGCGUUGAUACCCAAGAGAUAAGCAGGAAUAGGAAACAUACCGAUGCAGUGGGUAGCGCGUGCUGGACAUGGACUGAGAGAGGCCUCUGAGGACGUGAGCAAGGUGGAGUGAUGAGCCACAUAAUCUUUGAAGUGAGCAGGUGGUUUGGUGGGACGGGUGGAGUGACGGAGUGAGAUUGGGUGAGGAGUUGGUGGUGCAGGUGGCGGAGAAGAGGAAGAACAGGUAGUGAUAGGUUCUUGUGGCAUGUCGAUGGUGGCAGGUACCAUUGGAAGGCUUGAGGGAGGUGUCAUGGUGGCAGAUUCAUGUGGGGUAUUGAUGAUGGUAGGUGCUAUGGUGUCAAUAGUGACAGGUUCAUAUGGUGAAUCAAGCACCGUUUGAAGUAGGCUUGGUGAGGAGUCGAUGUCUUGUGUUGGAUGAAUAAUGGGAGCAACAUGUGAGUCGGUUUGGUCUAUAGGUGAUGAAGAUGUGUAAGGGAAGAUGUGCUCAUGGAAGAUUACAUCUCGUGAGGUAAAAAAUUUUCGUGUGGCUAGAUCAUAUACCUUAUAACCCUUUUGGCCAAGAGGAUAACCAAGGAAAACACAACGACGAGCAUGGACAUCAAACUUAUGGGUGGGUGUCAUAUUGGUGACAUAGCUGAGGCAUCCAAAAACACGUAGAUGGGUAUAAGUUGGUGGUGGGUUAUGCAAAAGUUCGUAUGGUGACUUAUGGGAGAGCAAGGGUGUAGGUAGACGAUUGAUGAGAUAACAAGUAGUCUGAAUACUUUCUCCCCAAAAUUGUAAAGGUAAGUUGGCUUGAAACCGAAGAGCACGACCAACAUUCAGAAGGUGCCUAUGUUUACGUUCGACCACCCCGUUUUGUUGUGGUGUGUAAGGGCAAGAGUGUUGAAAAAAUGUGCCACAUGAUUCUAGGUAGGAACGUAUGGAAAGGAACUCACUACCAUUAUCCGCACAGAGAGCUUUAAUGCCAUGUUGAAAUUGUGUUUUGACCCAAGAGAAAAAGGAUUUCAAUAUUGUUUGUGUGUCGGAUUUGAAAUUCAUAAGAUGUACCCAAGUAAAACGAGUGAAAUCAUCCACAAUAGUAAGAAAAUAUCGUGCCCCAAUGUGUGUUUGAUUUCUGUGAGGCCCCCAAAUGUCACAAUGAAUCAGGUCAAAUGGUGCGAAAGAUUUGAUUUCACUGUUAUGAAAUGGUAGACGGGUUUGCUUUGCUAAAGGGCAAACUUCACAAAUGUGUGUGGAAUCAAAAAUUAUUUCAGCAUGAUUUUUUGCUAAUGAAAGUAAAGGUGCGGCCGAUGGGUGUCCAAGACGCUGAUGCCAUAGACUAGUGGUAAGAUGGAUGUGGUGGACAAGGUAAGGGUUUUGUCUUGGUGUAAGAUAGUAGAGCCCAUCAAAAUGCUUGCCCAGGCCAAUCACCCUCUUCGUGUCCAUGUCCUGCACAACACAAAAAUUGGGAUAGAACGUCACUUUACAAUACAAAGCUCUUGUCAAUUUACUAACAAACAAUAAAUUAACACGAAACUUUGGUACAUGAAGAACUUUAUCAAGAGAGAGAUCUUGUGACAAUCUCAUGGAACCAAUAUGUUUGAUUUCUGCUUGCUCCCCAUUUGGUAAGGCAACGUACUCAUGAUGAGCAUCAAUGAUGCUAUGUGUUGGUGACGAAUGCGAUAUAUGGUCGGUUGCUCCGCUAUCAACAAUCCAAUAUAUACUCGAGGGUGGAUCUGUUUGUGCUAUGUUGCAUUUAGGUGAGAAAAUACCUGUUGCAUUUGCAAGUGGUUGAUCUUUACCGUUCUUAUUGUAAAGGAGAGCCAUGAGUUGACUGUAUUCCUUGGUUGUGAAUGUUGGAUUGUUGGCAGUUUGCGAUUGAGGUGCUCGCUGACCAUAGCCUUCUGGAGUGCUAGGUGACUGAGCAGUUUGUCCAUAAACUGCAGGAUUUGCAAGAGUCUGUCGUGCUGGAGGUGCUCCAUAUUCAGUGCCAUAUGCGGGCUGAGCCGAUGGUUGGCUUCCAUAACCAGUUUGAGCAGUUGGCUGCCCAGUUUUCUUGUUGUUCAUGAUGGAUGUAAUUUCUUGAUAUUGGGUAUUAGAAAGUGAUCUACGCCAAGUAGAAUGAUUAUCUCCAUCGGAGACGAGAACGUGAAUAGAAAAAUGGAUUGGAUGCUUUUGGCUUGUAUCCAUCUUGUAAAGCUGAUUUGGUUGCUGCCUGCUUCCUCCUUUAUUUUCUGCUUCGGUGGCACUGGUUUGAGUGAAGCUGAGUCGGCGGAGCAGUGACGUAAUGAAUGCUUAGCAGGUAAUGCAGCGACGAUGGCUGUGUAGUAGCUGUGCGACAGCAAGGCAGCGAGUGUGCAGCUUGCAGUGCAAUGGUUGUGCAGUAGCAGGUGUCCCUGUGCAUAGUAUAGUAGCAGAAGAGUGAAGGCAGAGCAGAGCAAAGGAUUAAUCCUGCUCUGAUACCAUAUUAAUUUGGAAUUGAAGAAUACUUCUAUUUCUUAUUUCUGUACAAAUGAAAACAGCUAUUAUAUAUACAUACAAUGAUAGCACGCAUGCAAUAAUUAAAUAUAAAAACCAAUGGCAUCCUUGCUGCCCAUGAUGUAACUGACACGCCCAUGAUGUGUAUCCACCAUGUGCAAACCUUUGCUGACAAGGAUUUUGGUAUCCACAUGCAACUGUCCAAACUGUCCAGAAUGUGCAUCCACAUGCUACAUUCCUGCUGUCCACUUUGUACAGAUUGGGUGAUUUCUUUUCCUUUAACAAUGUGUCCUUGAUUUUUUAAUCACAACUUGGACACUUGUCACUAGCAGCAGCUGCUGAUUUUUUCAGCAGCCAAGCUUUCUCCAAUAGAAAAUUGAAGUUGAAUGUCUAGAACUACCAAAAUCCACGCCGUGAUAAUCCAUCCCAUGGAGGAGUUCAAGAAACUACUAGCAUCCAACAACAACGAGAACUUUUGAUAUACAAUCAAGCUGAUCGUGGAUAAGAAAAAAGAAAUGGAAGGCCUUAAUCUAGAAUUGGCAUGAAGCAACAUUUCCCACUUUAUGAUGCCACAAGUAUGGUUUAAGUUGGAAGCAGAAACAAAUUUAAUCAAUUGACUGAAGGACACUAAAAGUAAUUAUACAAAGAAGGAAGCUUACUUGGGGUGUGGAUAAGACCUCGGCAUCCUGCUUAUUGAGCCUCGAAUGCAGAAGAACAAAGUAGACUUUCCAGAAGUAACCCUCGCUCAUAUGGCACGGACACAGUUCAAAUCUCAAAGCAGCAAAUCUUGGCGCAAGAUGUUCAAUCACCAUAGCAUGCUCUUGCUGGGCAUCAGACAUGUCAAAAUCUAAAAUAAGAAACGCGUAUCAAUUAGGCACCCAUCCCAAAACUGCGUAACUGGAAAAAGCAACAAGUUUGAUAAAAAAAUCGGAAAGACAGAAAAAACUACUAUCAGCUAGUUUUUCUGUGCAACGUAAUCUUAACUCCUCUUCCAACAAUUUUACAAUGCAAUAUUUAAAAUUUCCGCGACUAAUAUCAACUGCAUUGAGUAUAACAUCCAUCACCGCAACGAGACAAGCUACGAAUCCUAAGCCACUCAACUGCCACAACCUUAUGCAUUGUCCUAACAAACAAUAGGGCAAAUUCUAUGUUCCUAACAUACGAAUCUCCAAUAGCAAAACAUCGAAAUUCGAAGAUUAACCCAACAAUUUGAAGGAGAAUAAUGCAAUGUACAUUUCAACUGCACCAAAGUUUCCACAUUUCUAAAAUUCACCAACGAAAACCGAGUAAUACAUUAAAAAUACAUACUGUAUAAAAUUUUGUAUACAUACCGCCCAAAUCCUCCUCCUCGUCCAGAGGAAAGUCCAGCCACGUCUCCGGAUGCAUCGCGAUGUUCUUGGUGAAUGCCAAGUUCAUCCAGAUACUUUCGCUGCUUCUCAUCGCAAUGAUUUUGAGCGACGAAUAUUGUGUUCGUCGUGAAAACAUACUUUGCGCGACUACUGUAUCAUUCGUCGCACAAGUCUACAUUUUUUUUUCAUUUACUUUAUAAUUUAUUAAUUUAAACAAGUUGCAUGACAAAUACUAUUUUUGUCGUACAAAAUGCAAUUUUUUUUUCCAUUUUCUUUCUAACUAAUGUAAAUUUUUAUUUUAAUCUAAAUAAAAAAUUCAAACCUAAUUAAACAUUACCAAAAUAAUUAACAAAACUAAUUUAUUAUCCCAAAUACAUAUUAUAAUUAAUGUAAAUAUUAAUAGUCAUCCAUAACAUAAAUUUAUUGAUUAAAGUCAAAUAUAACGACCUAAAAAUCUUAUUUCAUAUUAAAAAAAAAUCAAUUUCAAUCCUCCUCCUCCGGGGCUGCAACACCUCUCUUCGCAUUACUAGUAAUUCAAAAAAUACUACUUUUUAACAAAAAUAAUUCUACAUUAUCAAACCCAAGUUCGGCGUACACAUCAGCCAAAACCUUUGAAAAUUAGGGUUUUGAAAUUGUGUUUAUAUAGCACUCGGAACACUUAGCGCAACGAACAACUUCGUCGCGCAUACUUCUUUGUUCGUCACGCAAAAUGUGUAACAAAUGUGCACUAAAUGGGAGCGUUUGAAGGCAUUUGACCGUUUCAGUGAAAUGUUGCACGACAAAUAUGUGGAAAUUUUCGUCGUGCAAACAUUUGGUGGCAAAUUUGUUUUCCCGCGUUUUCUUGUGCGACGAUCGCAAGUGUUUGUCCCACAAAGUAUUCUUCGUCCCAUAAAUUAUUUUUUUCCUUUCCUGCCAUUUUUGCGCAAUGAUUAUUUUUUUUCGUCGCGCAAGUGCCUCUUAGGCGACCAAAUAUGUUUCUUCGCGCAAAAUCUCGUUGAGCAAACUAUUUUUUUAACUACUGGCUGCUUUGACCAGCUAACCUAAUAGGGGUGAGAAAGAUGUUACUCAUGAUUUUUUUCAUCAGAUUUUUAGGGAAAGGUCUAGUUGGGUUAGAUUCCCUUCUCCCUCUUGUUGCUUAGGCAACUUAACCCUCACAUAGUUGAGUAACAUAAGAGAUAAAAUAUUUUCUCAUAUUGUUUUUUAAUUUAUUAUACUCAAAUCUCAUAUAUAAAUUAAUAUUUUUCAAUAUGGCGAGGUCUUGUAAAUAUUUUCCCGUGGUGUGCGAUUGAGGAGGUGCCUCUGUUGUUUCAUGGCGUAACAACAUUGCUUAUGAAAUUUAUGCAAGUAUUGUUAAAAGGUUGGUUCGAUGAUAUUAAGAUGAUCUGAAACAUUGUUACUAAUCACUGUUAGCUGAAUUUGCAAUCCCUGAAUGCGGUUAUUGUAGUUGGUCUUCUUUUUAGUUUUAUUGUUGUAAAUUUGAGAUCUUAUUUACAAUUUCAUGCCAAGAUGUUUUACAUCACCCUCGUCGGAGAGUUUUCAAAGUCAAAUUUGAAUGACAUUAUUGCUAGUUUAUUGUGAGGCUUAACCGUCCACUCUCCCACCAACUUAGUGUAAUAAUAUCGUUUGUUCAAAAAAAUUAUACCAGUGAAAUUAAUCUUUUGAUUUUACCUGGUUAAUGAAUUCAAUAAAACCAUUAUCUGUUUACUCAUCGAAUCCGUCAAACAAUUUGAUGAUGAUAUAGGUUAGACAAAAUCAUUCCAAUUUUUUAAAUGAUUUACUAAUUAAGGGUUGGUCAAGAUAUUCUAAGGAGACAAUCUGAUAACAUAACGUAAAAUAAGAAAAGAUUAAAAGCUCAUAAAAAUAGAUAGAUUCUGAAAUACACUCCACGAAACUGAUCAGCUCUUUUAUUUAAAUCCAAAUUAAUCUCUCUCUAAACAUCUUUCAUUCAAGAACAAGCAACUUGGGAAGAGAGUGGCUUGAAAGGAAACUUAGUUGUCGAAGCAUAAUCAAAAUUGAAAUUUUUAUUUCCAUAGAUUGGUUGACCAUUAUUGACCAAACACUCGCCACCAGAUUUUGACAAAAUUGAAGGAUCAAUGGGUUCUGCAGACUGAAACCCAUCGCAACUAAGCUUCACAUCCUGUUGAGAACAUAGACAGUCAUUAGUGAUUGUUACAUGCCACUUGACAUCGCUAAUCUUUCCUUGGGCAAUUUUAAGAUUGUCUAACGUGCAGGGUUGGCAAUAUCCUGCAAUAAUCGAAUAUGUUAAGUUGGUAAACUACUAUAUUGACAGUAAAAUACUAUACACUAAUUCUUCUAAACUGCGGAGGAGGGAUUUGAACUCGUAACAUAUAGUGAGUUGAAGAGAAAAACUUAAAAAAAGAAUGUCAUGGAAAAUUAUAUAAAUUGUUACUACCACCAAGUAUUUCAUAUAAAAAGUAAAAACUAAUAUGCAGAUACAUAAACUAAAAAUUAACUAGAUCAUUCGUUAAGCAAGACUACAAGGAAUAGUAACAUUGGAUAAAAAAAAGGAGGGUAAAACUUUACCUCCUACAAUGAGACUGCAAACGAAAACCAACAGAGAAAAGUUCACGAAUCUAGAUGCCAUUGGAUUGGAGACAAAAACCAGAAUUUUGUUUUGCUCUUGGCUGCCCUUGUUAUUUGAUGAAAAAGUUAGAGAAAUCUAACCCAAUUUAUAAGGGCUUCUAGGGAAACAAAAAACGUAAAGAUAUCAAUGCAUUAAUACUUGAAAUCUUUUGUGAUAAAAGAAUACUUGAAAUAUUUGAACGAAAAGGUAAAUGUUGGAGGGUGUAUUUAAUUGAGAUUUUGAAGGAAUUUAAGAUUUAUAAACUAAAGAUUUUGAUGGACUUUAAUUGAUUUGUAGAGUUUUCAUGUAAAAUUGUGAUUCAAUUCCCUCAAAAUAUCAGGGUGAGAGAUGAGAUUUGUGAGUGCUUAAAAUACACUCAAAUUUUCUCCAAUUCCUCAAAUUCAUCAAUUUUUCAAAAUUCUUUAAAAUAAAUUCCUAAUUGAAUACACAUUAAAUGUUAUAUACUUUUUAAAAUUCUAAUUAAAUACACCCGAUUUCUAAGGAUUAUCAUAAAUCAUCUUAAAAUCCUGAUGGGAUACAGGUUGAAUUUUAGAGAAUCACUUAAAAUCUUAAUUGAAUACCCAUAGAUUCAUUAAAAAAAUUAAAAUCUCUUAAAAUCUCAAUUAAAGUGGCAAUAGAGAAAAGAAUACCGAAUAAAAAAAAUACCAAACCGAAAAUCCUGAAAAUUUCAGUGCCCAAUACCGAACUGAUUCCAAACUUUCGGUACGCGAAUCGGUCUCACAUUUCCAUUUUUUUGGUAAUCCCGAACCGAACCGAAAAAAAAAAAAAAAUAUAUAUAUAUAUAUAUAUAUAUUAUCUAUAUCUAUAUAUAUAUAUAUAUAUCUAUAUAUAUUAUCUAUAUCUAUAUAUAUAUAUAUAUAUCUAUAUAUAUUAUCUAUAUCUAUCUAUAUAUAUAUAUUAUCUAUAUAUAUAUAUAUAUAUAUAUAUGAUAGGAUCAAGGGACAAACAUUUUGACAAACAUUUUUACAUUCCUUUUAAGCCGUUAGAUUACAUAACAUCUAAAGGUCCUCAAUGAAUCAUUCAAUGACUUGGAUGCUUACGUGAAUUAUAAUUAACACUGAAAAAGAAUAAAAACUAGAAAAUUAAUUACAAUUUGAAAAGAGGAAGACAACCUUGCGCACAAAGGCCUCAUUGAUUUGUGCAAAAUACCUUCAAGUCUUUUGAGUCUUCGUUCUCAUUUUUGGGUAAAAACCCCAUAAACCUCUUUGAUUCUAUUUCAAAUCCACACUCAGAUUUAAUUGUAUAAAAAAAAAAUUUGAGGGAGGCAGUUAGAGUUGUUGAUUUGGGGUUUAGUUUUGUCAAUUUAUUGAAAAAGCGAGGAACGAAUACUUGAAGCAGAUUGAUACUUGAUCUGCUUUUAUAUCGGAAUUUUGUAUCGAUCAAUUGAAGGAACGAUACUAAGUUUGACAGCGUGAGUGAUAGGAAUUUGAGGUGUUGGGGUUGGAUGAAGCAAUUCGAUGGUCAUGCUUCUGCAUUUUCAUCCAAGACGGCCAAUUUUGCUUCUUCCUUACGUUUGCAGGAUUAUUCCCUCAAUUUUUAUUCUUUUCUUAGUUUUAACUUUUAUUAAUUUCUUAAUUAUAAAUUUAUACCUCAUUUAAUGUUUAGAAUCCUCUACAUAACUCUUAAUCAAGACCGUUGAAUGUUACAAGAUCUAAAGGUUGUAAAUGAGUGUAAAAAUGUUUGUCAAAAUCUUUGUCCCUUGAUCCUCUCUCUCUCUCUCUCUCUCUCUCUCUCUAUAUAUAUAUAUAUAUAUAUAUAUAUAUUAUUGUUGAUGCACAAAAUCAGCGAAGACUUUGGUACAACAGAAAGUGUCAGGUUUUGUGACCUUCGCUUGGUUGCUUCGGUCACUAGUGAGGAUAAGUACGUAAAUGAACAGAGACAGAGAAGCAAACACAGGAUGUACGUGGUUCACCCAGAUUGGCUACGUCCACGGAGUAGAGGAGUUCUUAUUAGUAGUGAAGGGCUUACACAAGUACAAAGGAUCAAGCUCUCAAUUUAGUGAGUUCUUGUGAAUGAUUUAACACAAAUGGCAUUAGGCCAUAUUGUGGGGGAAUGACCCCUAUUUAUAGAAAAACUUGUAGCUUUGUCACAUUGACAUGUGUCAUGUUAUGAUUGGUUCUUGAUGUCGACACGUGCUGCGCUCUGAUUGGCUUCUAAUCUUGACACGUGUCGAGUAGUGAUUGGCCUCCUGGUCGGAGGGGAACUCUUCUGGGUCCUUGACAGUAUAGCGUUGGCCGGUGCUCGGUAGUUUCGGGAUUGGUCAAGUAUGGUACAAACAAUUAUCUAUAUCAAUAUAUAUAAAGUGAGCACCCUAUAAGGGUGAAACAUUCAAAAUAUCAUAGAUUGCCCUUUAAGAAUUUCAAAAAUUACAAUUGAACCAAAAAAAGUUUAAUUGAUUCACCACUUUUUAAUUUUCAAUGAUAUAAAUUUAAAACUUUAGAAAAGAAAAAAAUCUUCCACGUUAGUAGGUGGUUAGGUUUCAUGUUUUUGCUUCAUUUUUUUUAAUGAUUUUUAAUAAAAUAUAAAUUAGCUAUUUAAAUAAAAAAAUUUAAAAAACGAAAUAUGGUCUAAUAUAAAAAGGUCAAUGCGUGUGGCAAGAGGCUAGUAUAUAUAAAGGGAGAAGGCAAAAAUGGUGAAACAUUCAUAACCCCAAAUUGCCCUCUACCAUUAAAAUUUCAAAUAAAAUAAGAAAUAAAAAAAAAACCAACUCCCGUAACUAACUUUAUUUUAAAAUAUAUAUAUUAUUAUUCUGUUUUUUUUUUCAAAUAAAAAAAAAUCAAAGGAGCCAAUUGCCACAUGCAUACGCAUGUGGCAAGAGGCUAGUUUAAUUUUAAAUAUAUAUUUGGAAUUGUAACAUCCGUCAGAUUUGGCUGAGAUUUAAUCUGAACUGUUGAAUUCAAAUCAAAGUUCAAACCCUCAGGUACUGUUUGGUACGUGGGACGGGAUGGAACAGAGUGGGACAAGGCGUUCCAUCCCACGUUUGGUGCGCCUAAAACGGGCGGAAUGCGCUGUUCCACGGAACGAGUUUUGGGUAAAUUUUCGUUCCACCUCACCCCCUAGAACGACUCGUUCUACAUCCAUGGAACACAAAAUUAUAACCUAUCUGUCUCCUUCUUCUUCCUCCUUGUUUCCAUCCGAGGGCAUUUUUACUCCCUCUCCGUUCCGUCCCGUCCUGUCCUGUCUACAUACCAAACAAUACCUCAGAGAACUCAGUCACCCUCUCUCUCUGUCUCUCGAGUCUCGACUCGACCUCACCUCACCUUAGACACCACCCUUCUCGCUGAUUUCUCUAUCCGUCUUCGAAUCCAGCCACACCCACAUCACACAAGUGACUCACCUCUCUGAUCUCUCUCUCAAAUCAGGUAAAUUUUGGAAUUAAUUUAGGGUUUGAAAUUUAGUUUAAGUUUCGAAGUCUAGAUUAGGGUUUGUGAAAUUUAGCACUUGGAACUGACAUGGAGUUUUAUUUACAUUGUGCCUUGUUUCUUCAUGGUUGGGCUCUCCACAAUUAGGCAUAUGGAGACUCCUCAUUCCAAGAUUGUAAGCGAGCAUCUGAAGCAGUUGUGACCAUAAUUAUCAAGAAUUUGCAGGUUUAUCUUUUUUUCUUUCUCUUUCUUUCCAUUUUAUAAUAUGGCGAGACUGGUUUUCUUUCUACCCAUACCUAACAAGAAAUAAAUAGAUGUCUUAUCCUUACUUCCCUUGCAACGUUUCUCUGGGGGGUUCUUGUUAAGUUUCUGCAGUCGAGGUAGUACUUUUUAGUUGGAUGUGUACAAGCUUUAGAAUACUAGGGUUUUCAGCUCAGUUGCAUACCCAUAUAAUGAUGGGUUGCAGUAUAUUUAUACACAUCAAUUUCAUAUUACAAGUAGGGUUUUGAAUACCCUAUUUACACGAAGAUCUUUGAAUUCAAAAUACAAAAUCACAACAAACUUAUCUUUGAACUAUUCAAACUAAAACCUGACCUAGCAAUCUUAUCCUAUGAAGAGUUUGUUUCGGAGCUAAGUUUUUGAUAAGAUUGACUCGAUCAAACAUCCCCCCACAAGCUGACAGGUCAAGCAACCACUGGAAGCUUGGAAACUAACAAUUUGAACAGUGAAAAAGAUAGACCCUUUGUGAAUAAAUCGGCAAUCUGGUCUUGGGAACAAAUAAAAUGAACCAAAAGUUGUCCACGUACCACCUUUUCUCAUACAUAAUGGUAGUCCACUUCCAAGUGUUUUGUUCGUGCGUGGAACACGGGAUUGGAAGCCAAAGCAAUCGAUGAAACAUUGUCACAUCAUAUAUGCGGCCGAUGAAGAUAAAUAUGAAGAUCUCGAAACAAGCUGCCUAACCAUGAUAAUUCAGCUAUAGUAUAAGCAAGUUGCCUAUACUGGGCCUCUGUACUUGAUCUUAAAACAGUCUUUUGUUUCUUUGAAGUCCACGAAAUUAAAUUUGUUCCCAAAUAGAUACAGAAACCACCAGUUGAAUGACGAGUAUCCAGAUUUCCUGCAUAAUCAGCAUCAAAGAAAGCAUUUAAUCGAACAUCUCUAGUUUUAUAGACAAUACCAUGAUCAUAAGUGGCCUUUAAAUAACACAAUAUCCUAUUAACCACCAUCCAAUGUGUAGUCCAAGGCAUAUGCAUGAACUGGCAAACCUGGUUCACAACAUAAGAAAGAUCAGGCAUGGUGAUCAUCAAGUAUUGCCACACUCCAACAACCGUUCGAUAUUGUUCUGGAUUCAAAUAAGGUUCACCAUCAUACUGACUUAGCUUAUGUCCCGUAGGCACAGGAGUGGAAAUAGGUUUUACAUUAGUAAUCUUUGUGCAUUCUAGCAGAUCCAACGCAUACUUGGACUAUGUAAGAUGCAUAUUCUGCCCAGAAUAAGUGACCUCGACACCCAAAAAAUAACUUAAAGGUCCUAAGUCCUUCGUAGAAAACGAAGUGCCAAGCUUCAUGAUCAACCAUUGCAUUUGUUUAUCAUUAUUUCCUGUAAGAAGAAUAUCAUCCACGUAGAUAAGUAAGAUCAAGUAAACUCCUCAUUAAUUAAACACAAAUAAUGAAUAAUCACAUAACAAUUCUUCAAACCCAAGUUGAAGGAGAAAAUCCGAGAAUCUUUGAAACCAGGCUUUGGGAGCCUGUUUUAAACCAUACAAACUUCGUUGCAAUUUACACACAUAAUUGGGAUACUGUUGAUCAAGAAAUCCUGGCAGCUGUUUCAUGUACACAUCCUCAUCCAAAUUGCCAUGCAAGAACGCAUUCUGUACAUCUAACUGUCGCACGCUCCACUUCUUGGAUACAGCAAGACUCAAAACAAGUCAAAUGGUGCUAUAUUUCACGACUGGACUAAAUGUUUCAUUAUAAUCCACUCCGGAUUGCUGAUGAUAACCAUUAGCCAUAAGUCAAGCCUUGUGACAUUCGACAGAACCAUCUACAUGUCUCAUGAUUUUAAACACCCAUUUGUUUGGCAGCAAGUUCAUUUCAGGACGAUAAGGAACAAGAGUCCACAUUCCACACCUUUGUAAAGCACUGAACUCUUGUGCCAUUGAUGCCCUCCAUUCAGGAUAUUUAAUAGCCUGACUAAAACAACAAGGCUCAACAAAUUUGGAGUCAGUUAUUACAUGCAAAGCGUACUUUGGAUUUGACUUUUGAAUCCCAGAUUUUGACCUAGUUGUCAUUGAGUGUGGGAGAGUAGUCUCUUGUGUGGAAGAUGACAUGGUAGAUAAUGUUGAUGGAUUAGAUGGACUCUGAGAACGUUGCACGGAUGGAAUGUGAACCAAUUCUUGCUCAUUGGUGGGACCUAAUGUGGAACUAGGUUGAGGAGUCAUGUUUAAACUAAGGUUAGGAGUUGUAGGUGAAUGAGGAUUAAGGUCUAAAUUCGAAACAGUUUCUGAAUGAGCAAAAACUGGCGUGAUAUACGGCUGGACAUUAUAAACCAAGGUUGACUCAGGCUGUUGGUUUAUGCUAGGGUGAGACACGACAGCAUUUGGUGAAGAUAUGAAAGGUUCCAAGGUUGGUGAGGAUGUUGUGCUUAAAAUCAAGUCAGGAGUCAAGAGACUACCUGUGGUAGUGACGUUUCCUUGGGAGAUGUAAGUUCCUUGAAAGGAAAGGAAUCCUCAUCGAAUAAGACAUGGCAAGAGAAAUAAAUUCGUCUCGUGGAUAAGUCCAAGCACUUGUAUCAUUCAUGAUUCAGCGAGUAUCCUAAGAAAACACAUGGUUUGGACUUGGGUUGGAGUAUAUUUAUACACAUCAAUUUCAGAUUACGAGUAGGGUUUUGAAUACCCUAUUUACACGAAAAUCUUUGAAUUCAAAAUACAAAAUCACAACAGACUUAUCUUUGAACUAUUCAAACUAAAACCUGACCUAGCAAUCUUAUCGUAUAAAGAGUUUGUUUCGGAGCUGAGUUUCUAAUAAGAUUGACUUGGUCUAACAGGAUGGUGUCAUGGUUAUUAGUUUAUAUGUUUACGGGCAUAUAAUAUAUAACUCCAUUUGCCUUAAUACAUGGAUAGGCGUUAUCCAAAUUUUGGUGGAAUGAAUUAUUUUCGAAUGUGGAAAGUUCUUCAAGUAGUGUUGAUAAUAGUGUUAACCAAAUUGGCAGUAUAGUUUCGAGCAACUAUGAGCAUUCAACUGAAGAAAGGGAUUUUGAGACUUUGCCUUCUGCUCUUAAUGGAAAGCUUGAUGAAAUAGAAAAUGAUCAUGGAGAUGCUUUGCCGUUUAAUAAGUUUCCCAGUGAACUAGAGUCCAGUAAGCAUGUGAGUAAGGAUAGUUCCAAGACAGAGUGGUCUGAUGGUUUGCCAUAUUUUUGUCUGCAUAUAAUAUAAUAAAUGAGUGAUAAAGAUAGAUGAUCUGCCAUCUAUGCUAAAAGAUGAGGAGCUUGUUGAUCUGAAAGAACCAAGUGUAGAGGAGGUCAAUGAUGAGGCAACUGAUUUUACAAGUAAGGACGUAAAGCCCCCUCAUUUGGCUGGCCCUAAUGUCAUGAAUAUCAUAUUGGUAGCUGCAGAAUGUGCUCCAUGGUAAAAAACAGGUAAUGUUUCGUAAACCCAGAAUGUACGAUGGCAUUAUCCUCCAGCAUGCAUGUUUAACAGACCUCCCAUUUGAUUUACAAUUCUAUGGUUGCUAAAGCUAGAACAUAAAGGUAUAUAAGUCAUCUACUUGUUUCUUCCAAUAGCCCAAAUUAUUUUGGGAUUCCCGAUUUGUCCCGAAAUCCAGACACUAUUUUGAGAUUCCCAAAAAUUUGGUUUGGAAUCGGUCUUAAAAUUGGCAUUCAUGAAAACUUUGGUUUGGGAAUCGAGACAAUGAUUUCGGUUUGGUAUCCCAUACCGAACCAGCCCUCCUCAUGUUCGACCUAGCCUCAAACCUUAGAACUCGGAUUGGGGAUGUUCCUUGAAUCCCAAGCCUUGGAUCUCGAGCAUAGAUCUUAGACUUGAGACCAAAACCCAGGACUUCGAUACCGAAGUGAUCCAAACCCAAGCCCUAAAUCCAUCUUUUGAGCCAUAAACCCCAAACCCUAGUGCUAGAGAUGGAGUAAUACUUUUUUUUUUUAAUAAACGAUAUUAUCUAUAUUAAAGAGGUGGGGAGUGGGCUAAGUCUCACAGUGGGCUAGCAAUAAUGUGGUUUAAUUUGUCUUUGGUUUGAAUCGAACUUAAAACCUCACACUUAUAAGUAGGCUGACAAUUUAUAACACGAUCCAUUAAUCUGACACGAAAUUAACAAGUUAUCGGGUUGACACAAUAACGAAUCGAGUCAUUAUCAGGUAAUUCGAUAAGCACCUAUUUAUAUAACGGGUUGGUCCAGGUAUACAUGUGGGUACCCCGAUACAUGAUAAGCAAAAUAUUAAUUUAAUAAUUUUAUACCCCUAAAAAACUAUAACAAUUAUAUAUAUAUAUAUAUAUAUAUAUAUAUAUGUGUAUAAUAUUAUAAGGAAAACUAACAAAAAGUCCUAAAAAACUUUAGUUUUUAAUGAAAAUGACAAAACAAAUGUGUAAGUGAAUAGUACCAAAAGUGACAAUUAAGGUAAAAAAAAUCCUUAACGUUGAAAGUGAACAGUACUUAUAGUGUUUCAUUAAGAUUCCCUAUUAUAUAAUAUAAUAAUUAUAUAUAUAUAAUUAAAGAGAUAAUAUAUUUUUAUAGGUAUAUUACCAUUGUUUUCCUCCCACGCUCGGCUGCUGGAGAAAUUUUUAGUUGUGACAGGAACACGGAUGGUACACCACAUGUUUUAAUGCAAGUGGUGGAAAAUUUUAAUUUUUAAGUUAUUAACCUUUUAACACACAUAACCCACCAUUUAUAUAGGGACACGUGGUGUACCACCUUGUGUGACAGUCACACUGAAAAAUCUCUCCAGCUGCUGGACUCGCCAUACAGCUUCAGACGCAGUUGUAGACUCAGGUCCCAGCGUGCACAUGGCCUCUUAUUUUGUAUUUUAUUUUUUAAAAUUCGAAGUCAAUGGUGGAACACGUCUCGGCCUCUUGGGUUCUUGAACCUGAAAACAAGGCUAUUAUUCUUACGAAGUUCACAAAUCGUCGUCGUUGAAUUCGGUCACAGUGAUGGUAUUCGUCAGAGUAAACUCACGCCGAAUCGACACCAAAGUGUAAGGGCACAAAUACUCAAAGCGUAUAUAAGUCUUAAUAGUAAAUGUGGUUCGGCCAUCGAAGUGCCGAACUCUAAAUUCCACUUGAAAGUAUCCAAUCAUAAAAUAACUCGGCGUGCAAUGUGCCGAGCCCAAUAAACUGUAACACCUCACUUCGCCGAGAAGGCUGAUGAGAUGACCUCGAUCAAUAAGGAUUCGGAAAUCCUUCUCGACCGAGACUUGGAUAGAUAACCAGUCACCCUCAACGCAGUGCUGUCUAUGCCGACUGAAGAUGCUGUGAGAUCGGCUAAUUAUACGGCGACAGUGCUGUUUAUGACAACUGAAGAUAUCACCGGUUGCCUUCGCAGUGUUGUUUAUCCAAACUGAAGGUGUGUCAGCGAAAAGAAAAAAGAAAAAAUCUCAAGGUUGUUGAGAGAAUUUGCGCAGGGCAGUUGUGUGUUGAAUUAGAGGGCCUAUUUCGAUGUCUUCCCUCCCUAUUUAUAGCAGCCAACCUGUAUUGAAUCCCAAUCACUCGUGGAUUAAAACUUCUUCUCAUGAUCCAAUUUAUCUCGGCCAAUCCUAUUCCUACUAGGACUUCAAACAUAACUUGUUACCAAACUGAUCCCGUCGAAACUCCUCUCAUAAUAGGAUUCGUCCACAUUCCACUUUCCGAUAGGAUAUGGCCAACUUCGACCGCGCAGCCCAUGGGCUAAAUAUCUCCCAGUGACACCUGUACACGAUUUCUGGGCCAAGAGAGAAUCUAAACCCGGCCUAUCCAAUACUAGGCCGAGAAAGAUCUAACUCGACCCAAACAAUAUUUUUGGGCCCAAACAAGUGUAUAUGUAUAUAUUUUAUAUUAAAUAUGUAUUAUUGUAUUAUUAUUCUAUAUAAAUUUUUAAAAAAAAUUACUUAUUUAUUUAUUUUUAUUGUAUAUUAUAGGCAAACAGUGAGAUUAAAAAAAUUAUAAAACACAUUUAAAAAAGUAUCAAGUAAUUUAAAAAUACCGAACACAUUAAAAACAAGCAUAAUAAUUCAUUUACAAGUGCGAAAAAUGUGAAAAACAUGCAAAGGCUCGUGAUCGUAUCAUUUACGCUAUGAGUAUGGGUACAUUGUCAUUUGAAUUUUUAAAACCAUAAAAACCCUCAUUAGUAGUAUUUUUAAGGGAGUUCAAAAUAAAUAAUCAUUAAUGUUAAAAAUGUGAAAGCUUAUAUAAAUGUGCAAAGUUCCUCAACUUUGAAACGCAACUCCUUUCAUUUUGCAUAUCCUUGAACAUUUGCUACUUUAUAGUAAUGUACUAAUGAUUUUCCAUUAGUCUCUUAUUUUGGAGUAUGUAAUAUUUGAAAGACAAAUUUUUUUUUAAUGUUUUGAAAUGAUAUUUAUGUGACAAUAUGGUAUGCAUAUACUAAUUUAGUAUUAUAUUUUCUAUUUUCUAUUUUUUGGGGUUAAAUUUUGUUUUUCAUUUUCAUUAUUUAUUGAUUUAAAUUAUGUUUGUAACGGGUAAUGCAUCGGGUCAUAUUACUUGAUAAUUUUAACGGGUUCAUUUCAGAUCGGAUCAUAUUACCCAUUUAUUUUAACGGGUGAUACACGACACUACCCGUUAAAAUAUCGAGUAUGAUAUGAAAAUGAUACGAACAUGAACACAAACUCGAACAAUUUGACACGAAUGCCAGAAACCGAGGCUAUUUCAAACAAUAUGAGUUCAAAACUAAGACUGAAAACAACAACAACAACAACAACAACAAAGCCUUUUCCCACUAAGUGGGGUCGGCUAUAUGAAUCCUAGAACGCCAUUGCGCUCGGUUUUGUGUCAUGUCCUCCGUUAGAUCCAAGUACUCUAAGUCUUUUCUUAGAGUCUCUUCCAAAGUUUUCCUAGGUCUUCCUCUACCCCUUUGGCCCUGAACCUCUGUCCCGUAGUCACAUCUUCGAACCGGAGCGUCAGUCGGCCUUCUUUGCACAUGUCCAAAUCAUCGGAGCCGAUUUUCUCUCAUCUUUCCUACAAUUUCGGCGACUCCUACUUUACCUCGGAUAUCCUCAUUCCCAAUCUUAUCCUUUCUCGUGUGCCCACACAUCCCACGAAGCAUCCUCAUCUCCGCUACACAAAUUUUGUGUACGUGUUGAUGCUUCACCGCCCAACAUUCUGUGCCAUACAACAUCGCUGGCCUUAUUGCCGUCCUAUAAAAUUUUCCCUUGAGCUUCAAUGGCCUACGACGGUCACACAACACGCCGGAUGCACUCUUACACUUCAUCCAUCCAGCUCGUAUUCUAUGGUUGAGAUCUCCAUCUAAUUCUCCGUUCUCUUGCAAGAUAGAUCCUAGGUAGCGAAAACGGUCGCUUUUUGUGAUCUUCGCUAGAUUGCUCCGGUCAUUAGUGUGGAUAAGUAUAUAAAUGGAUAGAGAUAGGAAAGCAAACACAAGAUGUACGUGGUUCACCCAGAUUGGCUACGUCCACGGAAUAGAAGAGUUCUCAUUAAUUGUGAAGGGUUUACACAAGUACAUAGGUUCAAGCUCUCCUUUAGUGAGUACAAGUGAAUGAUUUAGUACAAAUGACAUUAGGAAAUAUUGUGGGAGAAUGAUCUCGUAAUCACGAAACUUCUAAGUAUCGGAGUGUGGUGUCGUCUUGACUUGCUUUAUCUGUCUCAUAGGUAGAUGUGGCAUCUUCUCUGGAAGUACUCUUCCUCCAUCCAGGGGUGGUAUCUUUAACUGGUGGAGAUGCACAAGGUAAUGUAUCAAUUUCACUUGAAGCUUACUUGUAGUCUCAGGCUUGGUCAAGCGCGAUACAAACCAUGUAGUAGGAGUCCCCCAAGUCGCCGAGCUAGGGGGUCUGCUGAAAGAGGUGACAGACAAGGUAAGCAAUCAGAGCUCCGACUAAUUGUUCACCUUCUCCCCAUCUUACAGCAUCAUGAAGGAUAAAGAGAAGAAAAAUGAGAAGAGAUGAUAUGAGAUACUUUUGCUUUUGAAGAAGUAACUUUCCACAGGCUUAUUCUUGAACUGAGCUGGAGGGUUUUCUGGUUUCCUCCAGAGUAUAAGGCCGACUGAAGAAUUUGAGGGUCAAAACAAGUCCAUCAAAUCUAGAGUACGUUCCACCCUGCUGAUAUGGGAUACUUUUGCUUUUGACAGAGUAAUGGAUGUAUCGGCACGUGUGCUGUUACGCUUGUCUCCACAUGCUUCCUUGUAUCCUUCACACUUGCCCUAUCUGUUCCUCAAGCAGAUGCGGAAUCUUCCCUGGAAACAUAAGAUGUUGAAGAUGAGUACUCGAGAGCAAUGCCAGGUAAGUAAUCAGGUAAGGGGUUCCAGGCAGUCAGUUCCUGGCUGGAAGCUUGAUUCCAAGUGCUGACUGAUUGCUCUCUUUCUCCUUGUCUUGCAGGUAAAAACAAGGCCAAAGGAAAAGACAGGGAAAAAGCAUGAUAUGGGAUACUCUUGCUUUUAACCCUGAUGAUAUGAGAUAUUCUUGCUCUAGUAUAGCUUGUUUGCAGAGGUAUUAUCGGGGGGAAAGAAAGCUGAAUAUUUCGAAAGGCUUCGUUGGGAGUGCCCUCUCAGAUAUGAUGAAGGGUUGAGCAUUUUUGCAGGUCUGCCUGUCCGUUGGGGAUGGAGGUCGACAUAUAUAGGAGUCUCCCUAACAACAAGUAGUAAUGCUAUUCCUUUACCCUGCUUGGUCAUAGCACGGUAGUGGGAGCUGCCAGUUUCACAUGUUUUAACUCUGUCAGAGCACUUUGAAAAAGUGGUCUGUGGUAUCUGGCUCUCGAGAUUCGGAGAACGAUGCCUCUUCGAUUUUUGAGAAAGCAAUCAUGCUGGGGGUCUGGCUCUCGAGAUUCGGAGAGCAGUGUCUCUUCGAUUUUUGAGGAAGUAAUCAUGUUGGGAGUCUGGCUCUCGAGAUUCGGAGGGCGGUGCCUCUUCGAUUUUGGAGCAAGCAAUCCUGUUGGGAGUGUUGUCUCGAAUGUGAGUAAAGGUUGGGCAUGUUUGCUAGUCUACCUUGCCACGAAGCACAAAGGUUGACACACAGGGACUUUCCAAUUAUCCAGCAAUGGUACUGUUCCUUUACCCUCUCUUCGCUUUUGAGAAAGUAGUCAUGUUGGGAGUCUGGCUCUCAAGAUUCGGAGGACGGUGCCUCUUCGAUUUUGGAGCAAGCAAUCUUGUUGGGAGUGUUUUCUCGAAAGUGAGUAAAGGUUGGGCAUGUUUGCUAGUCUACCUUGCCACGAAGCACAGAGGUUGACACACAUGGACUUUCCAAUUAUCCAGCAGUGGUACUGUUCCUUUACCCUUGUGGGUAAUAAUAUGGUAGCUAGACCUUCAAAAUUUAUGUGUCUAAACUUUGUUAGUGCUGUUUCUUUGCUAUUCUUUUACCUUUCUUGGUCAGAGCGAUGUAGUGGGAGCUGCAAGCUUCACGUGCUCAACUUUGGCAGAGAACUUUGGCAAAGUUAUCUGUGGUACCCAUGAGUUAUUGUUGCGUGUGGGAAGUGGGUGAUUGAACAGUAAGAUUCAUGUGCUUUCUACUUCACCAGAAGUCUUCGACAGAAUGCCCAUAAUUUCUGCAAAGCUGAGUGUGUGUGUGACAGGUGCUGACAAGGCUAGAAAAGUAGGUGCCUCUUCGAUUUCUGAGAUCGGCCCUCGUGGUCUCUGAGCAGCCCAGCUUUUGAGAAAGCGAGCGCCUCUUCGAUUGAUUCGGAAAACGAUGCCUCAUCGAUUUUUGAGAAAGCAAUCAUGCUGGGGGUCUGGCUCUCAAAGAUUCGGGGAGCAGUGUCUCUUCGAUUUUUUGAGAAAGUAAUCAUGUUGGGAGUCUGGCUCUCGAGAUUCGGAGGGCGGUGCCUCUUCGAUUUUGGAGCAAGCAAUCUUGUUGGGAGUGUUUUCUCGAAUGUGAGUAAAGGUUGGGCAUGUUUGCUAGUCUACCUUGCCACGAAGCACAGAGGUUGACACACAGGGACUUUCCAAUUAUCCAGCAAUGGUACUGUUCCUUUACCCUCUCUUCGAUUUUUAAGAAAGUAGUCAUGUUGGGAGUCUGGCUCUCGAGAUUCGGAGGACGGUGCCUCUUCGAUUUUGGAGCAAGCAAUCUUAUUGGGAGUGUUUUCUCGAAUGUGAGUAAAGGUUUGGGCAUGUUUGCUAGUCUACCUUGCCACGAAGCACACAGAGGUUGACACACAGGGACUUUCCAAUUAUCCAGCAGUGGUACUGUUCCUUUACCCUUGUGGGUAAUAAUAUGGUAGCUAGACCUUCAAAAUUUAUGGGUCUAAACUUUGUUAGUGCUGUUUCUUUGCUAUUCUUUUACCCUUCUUGGUCAGAGCGAUGUAGUGGGAGCUGCAAGCUUCACGUGCUCAACUUUGGCAGAGAACUUUGGCAAAGUUAUCUGUGGUACCCAUGAGCUACUUGUUGCGUGUGGGAAGUGGGUGAUUGAACAGUAAGAUUCAUGUGUUUUCUACUUCCCCAGAAGUCUUCGACAGAAUGCCCAUAAUUUCCGCAAAGCUGAGUGUGCGUGUGACAGGGUGCUGACAAGGCUGGAAAAGUAGGUGCCUCUUCGAUUUCUGAGAUCGGCCCUCGUGGUCUCUGGGGAGCCCAGCUUUUGAGAAAGCGAGCGCCUCUUCGAUUUCUGAGAUCGGCCUUUCGUGGUCUUUGAGCAGCCCAACUUUUGAGAAAGCAAACGCCUCUUCGAUUUCUGAGAUCAACCCUCGUGAUCUCUAAGCAGCCCAGCUUUUGAGAAAGCAAACGCCUCUUCGAUUUCUGAGCAGGCGCCUCUUCGAUUUCUGAAGCUCCGUCGAGUGCAGAUUUUUAUAGAGGCUGGCAUUAAGUUCCAAAGCACACUUGAAUCUCCACCAGUAGAAGCUUCAUUCUUGCACUUCUAAGAUCUUGAUUUGUCCGACCUCUUCUCUCUUCAACACCUUUGAAAAUGUCUGGCCCCUCCGACCGUCGUUUUGACUUGAACCUUGUUGAAGAGGCAGCCCCGCCUUCUCCAGACAACAUAUGGCGCCCAUCCUUCGUCUCCCCUACUGGUCCUCUUACCGUUGGGGAUUCCGUGAUGAAGAAUGAUAUGACCGCUGCGGUGGUGGCCAGGAACCUUCUCACUCCCAAAGAUAACAGACUACUUUCCAAACGGUCUGAUGAGUUAGCUGUUAAGGAUUCGCUGGCUCUCAGUGUUCAGUGUGCAGGUUCUGUGUCUAAUAUGGCCCAACGCCUAUUUGCUCGAACCCGCCAAGUUGAAUCAUUGGCGGCUGAAGUGAUGAGUCUCAAACAGGAGAUUAGAGGGCUCAAGCAUGAGAAUAAACAGUUGCACCGGCUCGCACAUGACUAUGCUACAAACAUGAAGAGGAAGCUUGACCAGAUGAAGGAAACUGAUGGUCAGGUUUUACUUGAUCAUCAGAGAUUUGUGGGUUUGUUCCAAAGGCAUUUAUUGCCUUCGUCUUCUGGGGCUGUACCGCGUAAUGAAGCUCCGAAAUGAUCAACCUCUGAUGCCUCCUCCUUCUAGGGUUCUGUCCAGUACUGAGGCUCCGAAAUGAUCCCCCUCCGGUGCCUUCUCUUUCUGGGGCUCUACCGACUGCUGAGACUUCUCCUAAGCAACCUUUGUGAAGGCUCCGUCUUGUGUGUUUAUUUUGACUCAUGUAUAUGUACAUAUUUGUAGCUUAUCGGGAUAUCAAUAAAUAAGCUUUCCUUCAUUUCAACGUAUUGUGUUAAAUACACCAAAGCCUUCUUCGCUAAGUUCUUUGAAUUUUCUUUUGUUGAAGCUUGUAUGUUGAAGCUUUCUGAGUGGAGCAUGUAGGUUGGGGUAGUGUUCCCUUAAUUUCCCGAGUGAGGAAAACUUCUCGGUUGGAGACUUGGAAAAUCCAAGUCACUGAGUGGGAUCGGCUAUAUGAAUCUUAGAACGCCAUUGUGCUCGAUCCUGUGUCAUGUCCUUCGUUAGAUCCAAGUACUCUAAGUCUUUUCUUAGAGUCUCUUCCAAAGUUUUCCUAGGUCUUCCUCUACCCCUUCGGCCCUGAACCUCUGUCCCAUAGUCGCAUCUUCUAAUCGGAGCGUCAGUAAGGCCUUCUUUGCACAUGUCCAAACCACCGUAACCGAUUUUCUCUCAUCUUUCCUUCAAUUUCGGCUACUCCUACUUUACCCCGGAUAUCCUCAUUCCUAAUCUUAUCCUUUCUCGUGUGCCCACACAUCCAACGAAGCAUCCUCAUCUCCGCUACACCCAUUUUGUGUACGUGUUGAUGUUUCACCGCCCAACAUUCUGUGCCAUACAGCAUCGCCGGCCUUAUUGCCGUCCUAUAAAAUUUUCCCUUGAGCUUCAAUGGCAUACGGCGGUCACACAACACGCCGGAUGCACUCUUCCACUUCAUCCAUCCAGCUUGUAUUCUAUGGUUGAGAUCUCCAUCUAAUUCUCCGUUCUUUUGCAAGAUAGAUCCUAGGUAACGAAAACGGUCGCUCUUUGGUAUUUCUUGAUCUCCGAUCCUCACCCCUAACUCGUUUUGGCCUCCAUUUGCACUGAACUUGCACUCCAUAUAUUCUGUCUUUGAUCGGCUUAGGCGAAGACCUUUAGAUUCCAACACUUCUCUCCAAAGGUUAAGCUUUGCAUUUACCCCUUCCUGAGUUUCAUCUAUCAACACUAUAUCGUCUGCGAAAAGCAUACACCAAGGAAUAUCAUCUUGAAUAUGUCCUGUUAACUCAUCCAUUACCAACGCAAAAAGGUAAGGGACUUAAGGAUGAGCCUUGAUGUAAUCCUACAGUUAUGGGAAAGUUUUUCGGUUUGUCCUUCAUGAGUUCUUACGGCAGUCUUUGCUCCUUCAUACAUAUCCUUUAUAGCUUGGAUAUAUGCUACUCGUACUCCUUUCUUCUCUAAAAUCCUCCAAAGAAUGUCUCUUGGGACCCUAUCAUACGCUUUUUCCAAAUCUAUAAAGACCAUGUGUAAAUCCUUUUUCUCAUCUCUAUAUCUUUCCAUCAAUCUUCGUAAGAGAUAGAUUGCCUCCAUGGUUGAGCGCCCUGGCAUGAACCCGAAUUGGUUGUCCGAAACCCGUGUCUCUUGCCUCAAUCUAUGCUCAAUGACUCUCUCCCAGAGCUUCAUUGUAUGACUCAUUAGCUUAAUACCCCUAUAGUUCAUGCAAUUUUGUACGUCGCCCUUAUUCUUGUAGAUAGGCACCAAAGUGCUCGUUCGCCACUCAUUUGGCAUCUUCUUCGUUUUCAAAAUCCUAUUGAAAAGGUCAGUGAGCCAUGUUAUACCUGUCUCUCCCAAAAGUUUCCACACUUCGAUUGGUAUAUUGUCUGGGCCUAUUGCUUUUUUAUGCUUCAUCUUCUUCAAAGCUACAACCACUUCUUCCUUCCGGAUUCGACGAUAAAAAGAGUAGUUUCUACACUCUUCUGAGUUACUCAACUCCCUUAAAGAAUCACUCAUUUCAUGUCCUUCAUUGAAAAGAUUAUGAAAAUAACCUCUCCAUCUGUCUUUAACCGCGUUCUCUGUAGCAAGAACCUUUCCAUCCUCAUCCUUGAUGCACCUCACUUGGUUUAGGUCCUUUGUCUUCUUUUCCCUUGCUCUAGAUAGUUUAUAGAUAUCCAACUCUCCUUCUUUGGUAUCUAGUCGUUUAUACAUAUCGUCGUAAGCCGCUAACUUAGCUUCUCUGACAGCUUUUUUCGCCUCUUGCUUCGCUUUUCUAUACCUUUCACCAUUUUCAUCGGUCCUCUCCUUGUAUAAGGCUUUACAACAUUCCUUCUUAGCCUUCACCUUUGUUUGUACCUCCUCAUUCCACCACCAAGAUUCCUUUUGGUGUGGGGCAAAGCCCUUGGACUCUCCUAAUACCUCUUUUGCUACUUUUCGGAUACAACUAGCCAUGGAAUCCCACAUUUGGCUAGCUUCCCCCUCUCUAUCCCACACACAUUGGGUGAUUACCUUCUCUUUGAAAAUGACUUGUUUUUCUUCUUUUAGAUUCCACCAUCUAGUCCUUGGGCACUUCCAAGUCUUGUUCUUUUGUCUUACUCUUUUGAUAUGUACAUCCAUCACCAACAAGCGAUGUUGAUUAGCCACGCUCUCUCCUGGUAUAAACUUUGCAAUCCUUACAAGUUAUACGAUCCCCUUUCCUCAUUAGAAGAAAAUCUAUUUGUGUUUUUGACGACCCACUCUUGUAGGUGAUCACAUGUUUUCUUCUCUCUUCUUAAAGAAGGUGUUGGCUAAGAAGAGAUCAUAUGCCAUUGCAAAAUCCAAGAUAGCUUCCCCAUCCUCGUUUCUCUCCCCAAAACCAUGGCCACCAUGAAAACCUCCAUAGUUGCCUGUCUCCCUGCCCACGUGUCCAUUUAAAUCUCCUCCUAUAAAUAACUUCUCCGUCUGAGCAAUUCCUUGCACCAAGUCUCCAAGAUCUUCCCAAAAUUUCUCCUUCGAACUCGUAUCCAACCCUACUUGAGGUGCGUACGCACUAAUCACAUUGAUAAGUUCUUGUCCUAUUACAAUCUUGAUUGCCAUGAUUCUAUCUCCUACCCUCUUGACAUCUACAACAUCUUGUACCAAGGUCUUGUCCACGAUGAUGCCAACACCGUUUCUCGUUCUAUUUGUGCCCGAAUACCAAAGUUUAAACCCUGAGUUUUCUAAAUCCUUUGCCUUACUACCAACCCACUUAGUUUCUUGUAGACACAUAAUAUUUAUCCUUCUCCUCACCAUAACUUCCACUACUUUCAUAGAUUUUCCCGUUAAGGUUCCUAUAUUCCACGUUCCUAAACGCAUUUUGCUCUCUUGAACUCUACCCUUCUGUCCUAACUUCUUCACCCUCCCCCGUCUAAUAGGAUCAAAGUACUUCUUUUGUGUGUCCCGGGUAAAGUUGAUAGGAGCAUAUGCUCCCAAACAACUUUGAGUGGAGUCGUUCGAAAAGAAGUUUCUAUGGCCCCCUUGCUCAUUUAACACUGCAUCCGGGUGCCGAUGGAGAUACAGCGACCCUUGCUCACUUAUCACUGUGCUCAGGCCACACAGCGCGCCACUUACGGGUGACGCCCUAGCUUUAGCGCGAUUUUGUUCUGGAUUCAUUUUCAUAAGGAUUCGACGUGAUCAUGGAGUGCCGGCUGUCGACUACCUGACGCCCUCCCCCUCCUCCUUUAUCCGGGCUUGGGACCGGCCAUGUAAGACAUAGGCGGAGUUCCUUGCACCAAGUCUCCAAGAUCUUCCCAAAAUUUCUCCUUCGAACUCGUAUCCAACCCUACUUGAGGUGCAAAACUAAGACUGAAAACGAACAAACUAAUUAAUACUAUUACCACAAGGAGAAAAGGACACAAAUUCACUCCAGAUAUCGAUAAGCCUGGUCUUGAUCUUCUGUUGCUUUCACCACGAGAAACUCUUGGCUGCCUCGUACAAAUUACAGGGUCACCAUCAAGAAGACAAAGGCUCCCCAGCACAAAAGUAGCUUCUCCAUUGUGAGGGGCCAUACCGCGGGUUUCUGUAUAUUCGUCGAUCUCUUCCUCUAAAUCAAACCAACGAAGACCAGGGUACGACUCACUUUGAACGAGAACCAUUUCACCAUUUUUUUUAAACACCAAAGGUUUGUAACGAUUACAAAGAUGAGAAAUACUUGAAUAAAGCAAGGUCAGAUUCUCUCGCUCCAUAUUCCUUCAUAAUCCAAAUACCGAAUUCGCUGUUGUUAUAGUUACGAAUACAAACACAUAGAUAGCCUCCCAAGACCUCCAGCUCAAUCCUGACAUCCAAAAUGCCGUUGACCGGGCAGUAAAACUCACCAUAUUUCUCAGUGGCAAGAUCAAGAGUUAAAAUUAUGCUCAUAUUGUUAUCACCCAUCACCCAAUUUAGAGCUCCGUUUGAAAAUUGGAUUUUCGAAACAAGUUCAAGGCCCUUGGAAGGCAUGCUUUGGAUCUUCUUCCACAAGUUGGAUUUUAGGCUGUAAACAUGCACUUCAUAAGUCAAAGUAACACAAUAGGGCCAAGAACCAUUAGAAAUGUUUUCCCAAGACCACUUAGAAACGUCUACCGAAUACGGAGUUGAGAUCUUCUCAAUUUCCACAAGUUUAUAGUCAUCAUUAGUCGAAUCAUAUCCGAAUCCAUACUGAGGACUUGAAACUGAGGGUGUGAAGGGAAUUCUCUUGAACUUUUGAAUGGAAGGAUUCCACAAAGCUAUCUCAGCAUUUUCAGUGUUUUUAAUGCAAACCACGCCAUUACAGGAUCCCAAUAUCGAUAUUUCACCCCAGCCGCGACGUUCAACCAACGGUUGCCAAAUUUCUACGGCUGUGCUGAAUGAAUCGUCGACGGAAAGAGCCAACAAAAAGAAAUCCUUGGUAUAAAUGGUACCCCAUAGGCUAAAUAAAAUGGUGCUAGGGAUGGUAUUGAUGGAGCGUUGAAGAUGCCUUUUGGUGAAGCGUUCGUCGCGGAUGUAAGCAUUCCAAGCUUUGGAAACACACAUGCAUCGGAUCAAAUCCUUGGCCGGGAGAAGUACAAGGAUUUCGAAGAGUAGCUCCGGUGGGAAGUAGUCUGACAUGCUUAGGUUGAAACUGAAAGUUUCAGUCUAGGGUUUUGGGAUUUAGAAUUAUUGAUUUAUGUUAUCGUUCCACUUAGGGUGCGUUUGUUGCACUGGACUGUCUCGGACUGGACUACCUUCAGAGACUAAAUUGGACUGGCUUAGACUAGACUAAGCUAGACUAACUUAGUCAAGCGUUUAGUGCAAUGUCGGACUAAAAAGCAGAUAUUUAACAAACUACAAUAUUGUAUUAUUUAAUACAUAUGUAAUAAUAUUUUAUUAUUAUUUCAACUUUUUUCCUUGUUUUUCCAAAAAAAUCCUGCUCUGGAAACUUCUCUUUCUCCUCUUUGGUUCCGUCUGGUCCUUAUCUCCCUCUUUCUGCUUUUCCAUCUCUCCAUUUCUCUUCGUCCCCAUAACAACUUUCUCUCCCCUUUUCAAUCCAUUUCUCUACUCCUUCCCCAACUAAUGGCAAAUGAUAUGGAUCUGGGUGGAUUUUGGUGGUUCUUUUCGCCAUCUAUAACUCUACGCUAAAAAAAACAAACAAGAUUUUUAGAUUUCGGCGGUGGGCGUAGAUGGCGGGCCGUGUCAAAUUUUGAUAUUCAAGCGGUGGGUGUGACCGCAUCGGCUGUGAGCUACUGCUGUUCCUCCAUAUAGGGCCACUGGAGAGCAAGCACUGCCGACUACCUAGCCACAGUGGCGGGGCCGCAGAAGAAAGAAGUUAGAAGCUCAGGGACUGGAUGUUAGUGCCAACAUCGAUCCAAGUCUAGGUUGUCGGUGCAAAGAGAUAGAGGAAGGGAGAGAGAGGAUGCGAAGUGCAGGAACAUACGAGAGAAGACGAAGGUCUUAGCAAUCCCAUGGUUUUGCGAGGGUCUCACUAAGAACUCCUAACGAGGCCUCUAAUCCACGCGAGUCCCCUUUAGUCCCAUUUAACUUAGUCCCAAUACAAACCAAACAUGGGACUACAAUCUAGUCCAGUCCAGUCCCAAUUAACGAGGCCAAACAAGUUCCCUCCAUGUAACCCUAAUGUGUCGGUUUGGUUUCUGAGUUAUUAUCCGAGUGAAAAUAUUAAAGAAGACUAGGGAGGAAUAUGUCUUUUUAAUUUCUAAUUGUGGUGGAAAAGUAAAACCCACUAAUUGCAAUUAUUUAUCUAGCGUUGAAGCUUCCCUUUACAUCCUGGGAGCUUGCGCUGUUACUUUUGACCAAUAUUUUACAUGGAGGUUGAGAGAAAUACUAAAAACGAAAUAAGAUCGUAUGUGAUUCAACUGAAAGAUCAUUUUUACAACGGAGUACAAAAACAAAAUUCGGGUAAACGCCUAAGCUAGGGUCACAUUAGAAGGUCGUAGUGAUUGAAAGAUGAUUCAAUGUGGUGGCAUUUUGUAUGUUUGAGGUUUCGAACUUGCAGACAAUUUCCUUUGCAUAUACAAUUAAGCUCCAAAAUUUGUUACCUUGGUGCAUAUAUUGUCACACAUGAUACAUCAAUCAUCAUGCUACACAGCCAAAUAGAUCAUUCUCUUCUUUCACAAGUUCUUGCUUCCUAAGGAACCAGUGACUUAAGCUAGAGUUUUGAUAUAAAGCCAACACAUGCACAAAUUUAGUGUACCUAACAUUAUUCAAAAAUCACAUGUCCGUCAAUAAAUGUUAAAUUUUAUUUGUUCUUCUUUCUUCUUAAUGUUAUUUGUGUUUGCCUUUUCUUGAAGAGUAGAACAGGUUCAUAAGAUAGUAAAAAAAUAUGACAAGAAAGACAAAAUUGUUGUAUUGAUGCAAUGGUCACAGAAUCUACUUUGCAUAUUUUCUUCCAGGACAUUUCAUUGGUGAAAUGACCCUUGUACUCUCUCUCUCUCUCUAAAUCACUGGAACAACAGUGUAAUUACAAUCGUAUCACAACCAAUCAAACAUAUACUUCUCUGUAAAAACUUGGACCACAAGAAAUCAACAUAUCAUGUACAAUUUGGUAUUAGAACAAAUAGCAUCACCACCAGAGGCUUGAGUCCCAGCGUGGGACUACUCAGUAGGACAAUCAGCAAGAAUUUAGAAGAGUCCCCGCGCAGGACUAUACGACAGCGUACUUUUGAAAGCCAUUUAGCCACUACCAGUUCAUCCAUUGACUUGAAGCGCCAUCUUCUAUCCGAUGAGCAGAGCACACACCGAUGGUUAGCCUCUCUUUCCUUGAGGUUUCUUGACAGUCUUCAGUUUUGUGGGAGCAAGGAAAUCAUCGUCCUCUAGGUCACUGAAAGAUAUGUCUUCUUCAUUGAUUGCGUGAAUAGCCGUUCCACUAUACCCA
rnacentral:lncRNA from 1 species